GGUUUCACCAUGUUGGCCAGGCUGGUGUCGAACUCCUGACCUUGUGAUCCACCCGCCUCGGCCUCCCAAAGUGCUGGGAUUACAGGCGUGAGCCACUGCACCCAGACUUGUGAGGUUUUAAUAUGAAGUAUUAAAGCUAUGCUGGUUAGACAAUUUGAGAAAUGUUUCUUCUCCUAUUUCUGACAGAGUUUAUGUAAGAUGUGUGCUAUUUCUUCCUUAAGCAUUUGGAAAGAAUUCACUUAUUAAGCCAUGUGAGACUGUAGUUUUCUUUAUAAGGUGUUUAAUUACAGGUUCAAUUACAUAUAUAUGAAUAUUCAUUUCGGUAACCUGUGUUUGCUGAAUCAAUUUGUUCAUUUUAUCUAAAAUUUCAAAGUUGUUCUAUUAUUCAUUUAUCUUUUUAAUACUUAUAAGGUGUGCGGUUAGAAUUUGUGCCUUUUGUCUGUUUUGUUAAUCAAUCUUGCUGGGGGCCAUCAAUUUUAUCAGUGUUUCAAAAAAGCAAACUUUGAUUUUAUUCAUCCCUUUACCAUACUAAAAAUGUUUUGCUUAAUUUCCAAACUUACACUUCCACUGUGAUUAAAUAUUUGUAUAACUAAAACUCUUUGGAAUUUGUGUCUUCUCAAUGAUUAAAAAUAUGAUUAAUUUUUAUAAAUAUUGCUUCUGCACUUGAAAAGGAUAUGUAUUCUGCAUGUUGAGCGUAGUGUACCACGUAUCUCAAUUAGACGGAGCGUGUUAAAUGCAUCCUUUAAAGAUUCUAUUUCCUUACUGAUGUUUGUCUAUUUUUCAGUGGCUGAGACACAGAUAUGAAACUUUCCCACAAUCAUCGUCAACUUAUUUCUUUUUUUCGUUUGUUAAGCUUUGUUCUGUGUGUUUUAAGGUUAAGUUACCAGGCAUAAACACAUUUAGAAUUCCUUUUUCUCCCUG
rnacentral:lncRNA from 1 species